AACCUUAUGGACCUGCGGGCGUAUACCUGCGGAAGGAUCAUUAAUGAAAAAAUGGCGGCCCAUAAUCUGGGUUGUUCAUCAGUUCUAUUGUGAUACUAUUGAAGCAUAAUAUCAGGGCUUAAAGAUGGGGUUUUUAAAAGUGAGUUUUUUUUUGGCUUACCUUUAAGAAAACCGGCCCUGAUUUAUUUUAAAUAAGCCAAUUUUGACCUUUUUGACUGAAAAAAUUGAAUUUAAUAAUUC
rnacentral:misc_RNA from 1 species